CAUAGUGGUAGACCUACAGCUAGCAUAGCAUCAACCAUAGUGGUAGACCUACAGCUAGCACAGCUUCAACCAGAGUGGUAGACCUGCAGCUAGCAUAGCAUCAACCAUAGUGGUAGACCUGCAGAUAGCACAGCAUCAACCAGAGUGGUAAGACCUGCAGCUAGCAUAGCAUCAACCAUAGUGUUGAACCUGCAGCUAGCAUAGCAUCAACCAUAGUGGUAGACCUGCAGCUAGCAUCAACCCAUUCCCUCUCUCUUUGUAGAUGUUUUUUCUGGUGACCAUGACCGCUACACGACCAGGACCGGUGAGGGGAGGAGGUGGUCGGACAGCCCAGUCCUGGUGUACCGUCACGUGGACCAAGAUGGCCAGGAGAGGACCCUGAGUCUGGAGACACCCGGGUGGCAGCGUGGUGGGGACAGAGACAGUCUCCAUGCCUUGGUUAACACCCUCAGUGCCCAGCACCAGGCCAGACUGGACAGCUUCAGCAGGGACAUGGCCAGGGUGGACAGCCUCCUCACCCAGUCCUCCCAGACCCAUGCCAGGCUGGCUAAGCUGAUGCCCGCUGCCCUGCUGGAGUCCCAGUCCCGCCAGGCGCCCCGUGGGCAUGGAGCCGUCAGCCUGUUGGCACAGCCGGAGCAGGAGGUACGGGUGGAGAACGCUCCGGUCUCAGCGCGCUGUAUGGUCACCGUGGACUGCAGAGCCCUGAGGGUAGUAAGGCAGAAAGAAAACUAGAACCGUAGAACCUGAAAGAGCAGGCAGUCCCUGGAAGGGUACAGGAAGAGGAGACAGACCCUGGA
rnacentral:lncRNA from 1 species